rfam:Macaca mulatta chromosome 14, whole genome shotgun sequence.
ACAGGGCUCUGACCUAUGAAUUGACAGCCAGUGCUCUCGUCUCCCCUCUGGCUGCCAAUUCCAUAGGUCACAGGUAUGU